rnacentral:rRNA from 1 species
CCCAGACUCCUACGGGAGGCAGCAGUGGGGAAUAUUGGGCAAUGGGCGCAAGCCUGACCCAGCAACGCCGCGUGAAGGAAGAAGGCUUUCGGGUUGUAAACUUCUUUUAUUCGGGACGAAGAAAGUGACGGUACCGAAUGAAUAAGCCACGGCUAACUACGUGCCAGCAGCCGCGGUAAUACGUAGGAUCCGAGCAUUAUCCGGAGUGACUGGGUGUAAAGAGUUGCGUAGGUGGCAUAAUAAGUAGCUAGUGAAAUCUGGUGGCUCAACCAUUCAGACUAUUAGCUAAACUGUUAAGCUCGAGACCGUUAGGGGUAACUGGAAUUUCUAGUGUAGGGUUGAAAUCCGUAGAUAUUAGAAGGAACACCAAUGGCGUAGGCAGGUUACUGGGACGGUUCUGACACUAAGGCACGAAAGCGUAGGGAGCAAACGGGAUUAGAUACCCUGGUAAU